rnacentral:rRNA from 1 species
AGGACGAACGCUGGCGGCGUGCUUAACACAUGCAAGUCGAGCGGUAAGGCCUUUCGGGGUACACGAGCGGCGAACGGGUGAGUAACACGUGGGUGAUCUGCCCUGCACUCUGGGAUAAGCCUGGGAAACUGGGUCUAAUACCGGAUAUGACCUGCUCUCGCAGUGGGGGGUGGGUGGAAAGAUUUAUCGGUGCAGGAUGGGCCCGCGGCCUAUCAGUCUUGGUUGGUGGGGUAAUGGCCUACCAAGGCGACGACGGGUACGCCGACCUGAGAGGGUGACCGGCCACACGUGGACUGAGACACGGCCCAGACUCCGUACGGGAGGCAGCAGGUAGGGAAUAUUGACACAAGUGGGACGAAAGCCUGAUGCAGCGACGCGCGUAGAGGAU